rnacentral:rRNA from 1 species
CCUACGGGGGGCAGCAGUAGGGAAUCUUCCACAAUGGGCGAAAGCCUGAUGGAGCAACGCCGCGUGGGUGAAGAAGGUCCUCGGAUCGUAAAACCCUGUUGUUAGAGAAGAAAGUGCGUGAGAGUAACUGUUCACGUUUCGACGGUAUCUAACAAGAAAGCCACGGCUAACUACGUGCGAGCAGCCGCGGUAAUACGUCGGUGGCAAGCGUUAUCCGGAUUUAUUGGGAGUAAAGGGAGCGGAGGCGGUCUGUUAAGUCUGAUGUGAAAGCCUUCGGCUUAACCGGAGUAGUGCAUUGGAAACUGGGAGACUUGAGUGCAGUAGAGGUGGGUGGAAUUCCAGGUGUAGCGGUGAAAUGCGUAGAUAUAUGGAAGAACACCAGUUGCGAAGGCAGCUCUCUGGACUGUAACUGACGCUGAGGUUCGAAAGCGUGGGUAGCAAACAGGAUUAGAUACCCGGGUAGUC